rnacentral:rRNA from 1 species
GACGAACGCUGGCGGCGUGCCUAAUACAUGCAAGUAGAACGCUGAAGGAAGGAGCUUGCUCUUUCUGGAUGAGUUGCGAACGGGUGAGUAACGCGUAGGUAACCUGCCUGGUAGCGGGGGAUAACUAUUGGAAACGAUAGCUAAUACCGCAUAAAAUUGAUUAUUGCAUGAUAGUCAAUUAAAAGGUGCAACUGCACCACUACCAGAUGGACCUGCGUUGUAUUAGCUAGUUGGUGGGGUAACGGCUCACCAAGGCGACGAUACAUAGCCGACCUGAGAGGGUGAUCGGCCACACUGGGACUGAGACACGGCCCAGACUCCUACGGGAGGCAGCAGUAGGGAAUCUUCGGCAAUGGACGGAAGUCUGACCGAGCAACGCCGCGGGAGUGAAGAAGGGUUUCGGAUCGGAAAGCUCGGUUGUAAGAGAAGAACGAGUGUGAGAGUGGAAAGUUCACACUGUGACGGUAUCUUACCAGAAAGGGACGGCUAACUACGUG